GAAUCCCACAGGCCGUAAACCCAAGGUUUCCAGGGGAAGGUUCGUCCGCCCUGGGUUAGUCGGGACCUAAGCUGAGGCCGAAAGGCGUAGGUGAUGGACAACAGGGUGAUAUUCCUGUACUACCGAUAACCGUUUGAGAGAAGGGAGGACACAGUAGGAUAAGCUAAGCACACUGUUGGGUAUGUGUGCCCAAGCAUUGAGGCAGUCAAAGUAGGCAAAUCCGCUUUGAUAAUGCUGGGAUGUGAUGGGGAGCGAAA
rnacentral:rRNA from 1 species